UUUUCCUGCAGCUCCUGGUGUUUUGCCAACAUAUAUUUUAACUACUUAUAUCUUUCCGACGUAAACUAAGAGUUUUCACGAUAAAUAAAUGCUGCUUCAUUCCUUUAAUCUUUCAUUAUAACCGGCCGGAGAAACAAGCCGGGGUUAAGCGUUAAUUAACCUGUGCUGUGGAAACUUCAUAAACUAUUUAAACAGCUAAACAGUCCAGAGUUAUGUGCGAUCCAUUUUUCGCUCCGUCAAGUUAAGAAUUAUAGCCAGAUAAUGGUGUUAAUGCUUGUCCUAGACAAGCUCUAGGAUUUCCUCCUGUCUUUGAAAGCUGAUCUACUCAGAACGUAUGCCGGGUACUCAUUUUACCGACCAUGGAUGGAUGGAAGGCUGAGUGGAGCUUGACCCCUUUUACCGGAGAUUCGACUUCCUCCUUCUGUUGGAAUCAAACUCUGGCCGUGAGCAGAGCUUCAGCUGCGUUACCGCCGCUUACCACUCUGCGCCACAGAGGAUCUUCGUACAAACUCUAGAGUACCAGAACGCAGAUGCAGAAAUUGGCUGGGAACAGAUUCAAGAAAAAGCUGCCUUAGAUGGAACUAUUGCCAGAAGAUACAUAAUUUAUCUCUAUACUCACCUGUUGCUAAAUUAGAUGAUGCUGACAGGUACCAGGGACAGGUUCUUUUUAGUACUGACCCCUCUCCUGUAAACUCCAUGUGUCCCUUUCUCUUGUGACCCUCAAGCAACCUCUGAAGAAGUUUUUGUCCAAAACUUUUUAAUUAAUCUUACUUUUGGUCCCUUAUUUUUGUAUGUGUGUUUAAAAAUAUGUUUGUUCAAACAUUUUUAUUGUAAGCUCUCUUGUGAAGGUUUGCCAUAAAAGGCAGGUAGAAAUAUAUGAAAUAAACAUGAUUUUUAAAAGGCCUUUUAAACAAAACAAAAAUUGCCCAGGCUUUCCAGCAAGAUGGUUUUAAUUGCUGUUGUACACUUCUGUUGCAUCUUACUGAUCUGCAGUGUUCUGCUGCUUUUUGUGUUUUUUUAGUAUUAUUUUUAUUUAUUUUCUUAUUUUAGUAUGUGAGUCACCCUGGGACUUUUACCCUGAAGGGUAGAAUAUAAAAAUGCUGACUAGAUAAAAUAAAAAAUGAAGCACAAAGAAGGAAGAUAAGGGUGGCAUUUCA